UCAUAAUUCUCUAUUUUAAAGAGCGAGAAAACCGAAGACUGUAGUGUUCAAAGAGAGUUCUCAUUUUGACAUAUCACCCACCGAGAUCAGUUGAAUUAACUGGUUUUUUCCCCUUUUUACAUACAAACUUUGACAUAUCACCCAUCGAGGUCAGUUAAUUUAACUGGUUUUUACCCCUGUUUUUACGCUCUUUGAACACUGUAUAAC